rnacentral:tRNA from 3 species
GUUAGUGUGGCAGAGCCCGGUUACUGUAUAAGACCUAAACCCUUUAAACAGAGGUUCAAAUCCUCUUUCUAACU